GCCCGGGUGGCGGAAUGGCAGACGCAGCGGACUUAAAAUCCGCCGGCCGCAAGGCCGUGUAGGUUCGAUUCCUACUCCGGGCA
rnacentral:tRNA from 1 species